UAGCUGUGAUGGCCGAAGGGAGAUCUCCCGCAUCCCCCGCCUGUCUGUGGAUUGAGCCGCUUUCGUGUUGUUCAAACAGCGGAACCCAAAGGUGCCUGGUUCGAAUCGCCGGGUCGCGAGAUUUUACUUGCAAAAGUUAAAUCUUCUCCCACACUCGUGCGAGUAAUCCACGACUUGGCUGUUGGCGCGCUAAGCAAUGGCCCGUAUCCUCGAGGGAAGCAAUUCUGCAGAGAACGGGCUCCCCGGCGAUGGCGGCACCAGAUCACACCACCGCUGCACAUACUCGAGGGGGAAUGGCUGGUCGACCUUUUUUU
rnacentral:SRP_RNA from 1 species